rnacentral:rRNA from 1 species
UACGUAGGGUGCGAGCGUUGUCCGGAAUUAUUGGGCGUAAAGAGCUUGUAGGCGGUUUGUCGCGUCUGCUGUGAAAUCUCAAGGCUCAACCUUGAGCUUGCAGUGGGUACGGGCAGACUAGAGUGUGGUAGGGGAGACUGGAAUUCCUGGUGUAGCGGUGAAAUGCGCAGAUAUCAGGAGGAACACCGGUGGCGAAGGCGGGUCUCUGGGCCGAUACUGACGCUGGAGGAGCGAAAAGCGUGGGGAGCGAACAGG